UACGUAGGGUGCAAGCGUUGUCCGGAAUUAUUGGGCGUAAAGAGCUCGUAGGCGGUCUGUCGCGUCGGCCGUGAAAACCUGCAGCUUAACUGUGGGCUUGCGGUCGAUACGGGCAUCACUGGAGUUCGGCAGGGGAGACUGGAAUUCCUGGUGUAGCGGUGAAAUGCGCAGAUAUCAGGAGGAACACCGGUGGCGAAGGCGGGUCUCUGGGCCGAUACUGACGUGGAGGAGCGAAAGCGUGGGGAGCGAACAGG
rnacentral:rRNA from 1 species